UACAUCAGAGAAAAGAAUCUAUUAUCUUUAAUAAAACAAAACUAUGAACCUAAAAGCAUCACAUCCCUUCCUGUAGCUCUACUCCUAAGAUUGGGUUCCUGCAGACCAGCAAGGCCAGGGUUCCUGAAUUUCUCUUACCAUGCUGCUCUCUCAUGACUGAGACUACUCUCCAGGCCCAUGGAUAUUUGUUCUGCUUUUUAAAGAAGAAAUCUGAUGCCUGAAACCUUUGAAAGGACCUGGAGAAUUCUAUCAAUGAAACAGGGACCAUGAUUAGUCACAGGGAAAGGGCUGUGCUUAUUGCCAAAUCAAUAAUUAAAACUGACACACAGUAGUUACUGAACUAGUAUUUGCUGAAUGAAUGAAUGAAUGAAUGAAUACCUGCACAUCUGUGUGUCUGUAUGUAGAAAAAGAUGAUGGGUGAGUGAGGAAACACUGAUGGCAUAACACCAACUAGUUUUAUGAUUUUAGGGCUUUUGAAGCAUGCAU